GACGAACGCUGGCGGCGUGCCUAAUACAUGCAAGUAGAACGCUGAAGAAAGGAGCUUGCUUCUUUUGGAUGAGUUGCGAACGGGUGAGUAACGCGUAGGUAACCUGCCUUGUAGCGGGGGAUAACUAUUGGAAACGAUAGCUAAUACCGCAUAACAGCUUUUGACACAUGUUAGAAGCUUGAAAGAUGCAAUUGCAUCACUACGAGAUGGACCUGCGUUGUAUUAGCUAGUAGGUAGGGUAACGGCCUACCUAGGCGACGAUACAUAGCCGACCUGAGAGGGUGAUCGGCCACACUGGGACUGAGACACGGCCCAGACUCCUACGGGAGGCAGCAGUAGGGAAUCUUCGGCAAUGGGGGCAACCCUGACCGAGCAACGCCGCGUGAGUGAAGAAGGUUUUCGGAUCGUAAAGCUCUGUUGUAAGAGAAGAACGUGUGUGAGAGUGGAAAGUUCACACAGUGACGGUAACUUACCAGAAAGGGACGGCUAACUACGUGCCAGCAGCCGCGGUAAUACGUAGGUCCGAGCGUUGUCCGGAUUUAUUGGGCGUAAAGCGAGCGCAGGCGGUUUAAUAAGUCUGAAGUUAAAGGCAGUGGCUUAACCAUU
rnacentral:rRNA from 1 species